UACAGAGGUCUCAAGCGUUGUUCGGAUUCAUUGGGCGUAAAGGGUGUGUAGGUGGCGCGCUAAGUCGGGUGUGAAAUUUCGGAGCUUAACUCCGAAACUGCAUUCGACACUGGCGUGCUUGAGGACUGGAGAGGAGACUGGAAUUUACGGUGUAGCAGUGAAAUGCGUAGAUAUCGUAAGGAAGACCAGUGGCGAAGGCGGGUCUCUGGACAGUUCCUGACACUGAGACACGAAGGCCAGGGGGAGCAAACGGGG
rnacentral:rRNA from 1 species